rnacentral:rRNA from 1 species
UAGCUUCAGCGAUGGAUCGGUAGAUUCGCGUAUCGAUGAAAAACGCAGCAAGCUGCGUUAUUUACCACGAAUUGCAGACGCUUAGAGUGGUGAAGUUUUGAACGCACAGCGCCGUCGGGUUUUCCCUUCGGCACGUCUGGCUCAGGGUUGUU